rnacentral:tRNA from 2 species
GGAGGGGUGGCAGAGCCUGGCUGAUUGCACUAGUCUUGAAAACUAGCAAGGGUUUAUACCCUUCGGGGGUUCGAAUCCCUCCCCCUCCG